CUAUACUGCAGUCGAGCGAUGGAUUAAGAGCUUGCUCUUAUGAAGUUAGCGGCGGACGGGUGAGUAACACGUGGGUAACCUGCCCAUAAGACUGGGAUAACUCCGGGAAACCGGGGCUAAUACCGGAUAACAUUUUGAACCGCAUGGUUCGAAAUUGAAAGGCGGCUUCGGCUGUCACUUAUGGAUGGACCCGCGUCGCAUUAGCUAGUUGGUGAGGUAACGGCUCACCAAGGCAACGAUGCGUAGCCGACCUGAGAGGGUGAUCGGCCACACUGGGACUGAGACACGGCCCAGACUCCUACGGGAGGCAGCAGUAGGGAAUCUUCCGCAAUGGACGAAAGUCUGACGGAGCAACGCCGCGUGAGUGAUGAAGGCUU
rnacentral:rRNA from 1 species